AAAGAUUAAGCCAUGCAUGUCUAAGUAUAAGCAAUUAUACCGCGAAACUGCGAAUGGCUCAUUAUAUAAGUUAUCGUUUAUUUGAUAGUACCUUACUACUUGGAUAACCGUGGUAAUUCUGGAGCUAAUAAAUGCUAAAAAUCCCGACUUCGGAAGGGAUGUAUUUAUUAGAUUAAAAACCAAUGCCCUUCGGGGCUCACUGGUGAUUCAUGAUAACUCCUCGAAUCGCAUGGCCUUGUGCCGGCGAUGGUUCAUUCAAAUUUCUUCCCUAUCAACUUUCGAUGUUUGGGUAUUGGCCAAACAUGGUUG
rnacentral:rRNA from 1 species